CCACCGAUCGCUUCUGGUCGUACGUCGUGGGUAAUUUUGCAGAAAAGUCCCUGUGCUCUUUUGUAUUCAACCCGCAGUCCAAAGCGAACCGGUAUGAAGGGAAAAAAACACAGCCAGGCUCUGCCUCGGGCCGCUUCCUGCCCCGCCCCGCGCCGCCGGCCGCUUCCUGCCCCGCCCCGCCCGCGCCUCCGGCUACCUCCUGCCCGGCCCCGCCCGCGCCGCCGGCCACCUCCUGCCCCGCCCCAUCUCCUCCUCAUCCGCGGAUUUCUUCGCUGUACACGGCUCCCCUGCACCUACUGGUCGCGACCUCACGGUAGGCAGAGGAUGGGAGGGUGCGGCGCUCGCGCCCGGAUCCCGGAGCUCGAGCGGGCCGAUCUGCGUGUCGGCGACCUCGCGGUAGACAGAGGAUGGGAUGGUGUGCUGCGCUCGAGACGAGCGGGCUCGAGUAAGGAGAUUGGAGGGUGGGGCUCGCGGACGGGGAUGGAGAGGCGGGUGCCGGCAAGAUUGGGGGCGGGGAUGGAAAAGGCGGGGUCGGCAAGUUGGAAAUCUGAGGAUGGGAAGAGGCUGUGCUGCCGGCGGCCACGAGUGGAGGAGGGCAUAAGCAGUGCUCCACCGUGGCGACCACCAGAUACCCUGCCUCCCGUUCAUCCCACGUUGUCACCGGCCUGCACCUCCGUGAGCUACCUGCCUUAGGAGUGUUUGGUGUGCACUCACAAGCUCGGCCAGGACACCAUCGAGUUUGACUUCCAGUUCAACGCUGAUGAAUUCUUCGAGCCCAACCACGGUCAGACUCCCCUUUCUCCUCCCAGUAGCUGUGCCACCCCUGAAGAAGAAACAUGGUGCCAAGUAAUUGAUUCACCCAGUUGUGUUUUCUUAAAUCUAGCAUAAGGAGCAUGUUAGAUUUCCAACAGACAUAACAUCCGAAAAAAUAAUAAUCAUUUACUUGAUUUCUCACACAAUUAACAGAAUCCACAAAAACAGCUUAACCAAACAAUUAGAGCAUGAGGAAGAGAUGAUUCAGACAGAGCUGCAGUUGAUGUGCCCCUGUGUGUGAAUUGCUGUUGUGCUAUGUGAGAGGUAAGAGCUUAAGAUGCCCACGACGCUGGCAUCGGCGCACUGAUUGUAGAGGCCGUUGCCAUGGUCAUUGCCCGGCGGUUCGUCCUUGAAUACCAAGCGGCUUGAUGACAACACCGGCAACGUUUCCUGUGAGCAACCAUCAACCUCAUAUUCAGAUGGUGUAAGCUCUUCAUUUGCUCACCAAAAUGAUUCGAAUUUUGUGUCAUGAUUUUGCACGUUGCGAUUAUUCCUUCUUACUGUAGUGUGAUGAUGACCGAGUACUGUUAAAUCUGUGAUGGCUGCACUUCUUCCUUGCAGGUGGCAAUCUGGCUCUGUAAAAUCUGUGAUGGCUGCAUUUCUUCCUUGCAGAUUGUCAGAGGCUGCACAUUGUGGAUUUGGUGGUAGAGGUGCAUGUCGGGAACGUGCGCGGUGCAUCAACGCCGUGGUCUGCACCGUACCCAACGAAGGCCAUGGAGCCUGUGGGAGAGACGCAAAACCAAAUGGAACCCUCAACCUGAAGAUGUGGACUGCAAUGUUGCUCCUGGUUGUAUACAAAGUCAAUGCCCCCUCGGUUAUACUGCCGAGAGCAUCCAUCACCAUGAUCAUGGGAGAGCAGUGCCUAGCCAUGGUGCCAUGGUGCCAUGUGCAAGUCAUUGUUGAGGGCGCAUGGACAGAAUUGCAGAUCAAUAUCUAACACUAUGUGCCAGGUCUAGGAGACCGGGGCAUCCAGAUGAACCUCUUCGAGCAGUUUCACAUCAAAAGGAAGAUAAGAUGAGGCAGCAGCAGAUGGAUUGGGAGCUGCACUUCAUUAGUGCACCAUGACAUAGCGGCAAGGAUCGCUGACAAUUGGUACUCACCAGCCGCCCAGCACAUGCCAAGACCGCAUCUACAACCAUCAUGGAAUAUGUUUCAAGUCGGGAGAAGAUAACCAGUUCUAUUUUAACUUAGAAUAUGACGAUG